rnacentral:tRNA from 1 species
GGGUUUAGGUUAAACAAACCAGGGCCCUUAAAAGCCCCAAACAGGGCCAUACCCUUAGC